GGAAUAUUGCGCAAUGGGGGAAACCCUGACGCAGCCACGCCGCGUGGUGGAUGACACCCCUAUGGGGCGUAAACACCUUUUAUACGAGAAGAAACACCGACUCGGUCGGGACUGACGGUAUCGUAUGAAUAAGCACCGGCUAACUCCGUGCCAGCAGCCGCGGUAAUACGGAGGGUGCAAGCGUUGUCCGGAAUCACUGGGUGUAAAGGGUGUGUAGGCGGAUCAAUAAGUCAGAGGUGAAAUCCCACAGCUCAACUGUGGAACUGCCUUUGAUACUGCUGGUCUUGAGUAUCGGAGAGGUUACCAGAAUUCGUGGUGUAGCGGUGAAAUGCGUAGAUAUCACGAGGAAUACCAGAGGCGUAGGCGGGUAACUGGACGAUUACUGACGCUGAGGCACGAAAGCGUGGGGAGCAAA
rnacentral:rRNA from 1 species